AUACGGAGGGUGCAAGCGUUACUCGGAAUCACAGGGCGUAAAGCGCGCGCAGGCGGUCUUUUAAGUUGGAUGUGAAAGCCUACGGCUCAACCGUAGAACUGCAUCCAAAACUAUUAGACUAGAGUGUGGGAGAGGAAGAUGGAAUUAGUUGUGUAGGGGUAAAAUCCGUAGAGAUAACUAGGAAUACCAAAAGCGAAGGCAAUCUUCUGGAACACUACUGACGCUGAGGCGCGAAAGCGUGGGGAGCAAACAGGAUUAGAAACCCUAGUAGUCC
rnacentral:rRNA from 1 species